CCUACGGGUGGCAGCAGUGGGGAAUAUUGGGCAAUGGGCGCAAGCCUGACCCAGCAACGCCGCGUGAAGGAAGAAGGCUUUCGGGUUGUAAACUUCUUUUGUCAGGGACGAAGCAAGUGACGGUACCUGAAGAAUAAGCCACGGCUAACUACGUGCCAGCAGCCGCGGUAAUACGUAGGUGGCAAGCGUUAUCCGGAUUUACUGGGUGUAAAGGGCGAGUAGGCGGGAUAGCAAGUCAGAUGUGAAAACCAUGGGCUCAACCUGUGGACUGCAUUUGAAACUGUUUAUCUUGAGUGCUGGAGAGGCAAGCGGAAUUCCGAGUGUAGCGGUGAAAUGCGUAGAUAUACGGAGGAACACCAGUGGCGAAGGCGGAUUGCUGGACAGUAACUGACGCUGAGGCGCGAAAGCGUGGGGAGCAAACAGGAUUAGAUACCCGGGUAGUC
rnacentral:rRNA from 1 species